AUAAAGGCAUCUUGAACAUUCUCUGACAAGGUAAACUGAACUUCCAUUAAAGGAUUACUCUCGUGACAGAUCGGACAAAACGCUGUUCUGUUUGCUGUUGACGGCAUCAUACUUCAUAACGUUCACAAACCAGCGUGUGAACGUGAAGUGCGUUGGGAGACAGCUGAGGGGAGUGGGCUGGAGGUUUAACAACCUCUUUCCAUGUAUCCUGAUGGACUGCCAUUCAUCAUCGAAAACAAAAAAAUUACUGCUGAUGUGUGUGCGUCACCAGGGGUGAUCAUCAACAGGGACUUCAGUGGAUUAAAAAGAAGGAAAGUCUCGACGUACAUUUAUCCACUGCUCUCAUAAAAAUGACCUCACCGUGAGAACACACGCAAACCUGUGGGCUGAGUUUUGUCAAACAUUGACAUGUCUUUGUACCGUGACCUUUUUACACUUAUUAUCAUUCCAUUUUCAUUUCCCUUAUUUGUGCCUACAGUAGGUGAGCCAAUAAACUGUUGGAUGAUCGAUCUAUCUAUCCAUCAUCCAUUCUGCGUCGGCUGCACUGUCUCCCAGGUAACGCACAGUCAAUUUUAAAAUCCAGACACUUAAGAUCUAAGGCCCAGGUCACCAACAUGGUGGCCCCGGGCACCAGGUAGCCAAGGGAGUAGGCCACCGGCCAUUACAAAAAUAGUUUUCAUGUAAUAACCAUCUUAUUAUGUUGGAUUUUGUGAUGCCUUUUUUUAGUUACACCAUUGGUAUUUAUUUUUUUAUUACACUUAUUAUUUAAUUAUUUAUUACACAGUGCCCUUGGAGUAGCUCAUGGUGGCUAGAAGGUUGGUGACCCGUAGCUUCCAGCACCUCAACCUACCUUAUCCCGCUGAUCUCUGCUUGCACACUCUGAUCUCCUUGUGUAGGCCUCACACUAUGGUCACUUUGAAUCUUGAAUAUAUUCUUUGUUUUGCCCCUUGUCUUCUUAUUCCUUCUAUUUGUUUUUUGUUUCCCUGGUUUGUCUGGGGGUCAUUUGCCAUAGUGUCAGCUGCCUAAGCAGAUGACGAAACACAGCAGGUCAUGUAUUCAUUUUUGACUUGCGAGGGAAGGCAGGACAACCCGCCCGCCCCACUUCUUCCUCCACCAUAUGUGACCAAAUUUAUCAGUGAAUCUAAAAAAGGUAUCGU